UGGGGAAUAUUGGACAAUGGGGGCAACCCUGAUCCAGCAAUGCCGCGUGUGUGAAGAAGGUCUUCGGAUUGUAAAGCACUUUCGACGGGGACGAUGAUGACGGUACCCGUAGAAGAAGCCCGGCUAACUUCGUGCCAGCAGCCGCGGUAAUACGAAGGGGGCUAGCGUUGCUCGGAAUGACUGGGCGUAAAGGGCGUGUAGGCGGUUUACACAGUCAGAUGUGAAAAUCCCCGGGCUUAACCUGGGAGCUGCAUUUGAUACGUGUAGACUAGAGUGUGAGAGAGGGUUGUGGAAUUCCCAGUGUAGAGGUGAAAUUCGUAGAUAUUGGGAAGAACACCGGUGGCGAAGGCGGCAACCUGGCUCAUUACUGACGCUGAGGCGCGAAAGCGUGGGGAGCAAACAGGAUUAGAUACCCUGGUAGUCCACGCUGUAAACGAUGUGUGCUAGAUGUUGGGUAACUUUGUUAUUCAGUGUCGCAGUUAACGCGUUAAGCACACCGCCUGGGGAGUACGGCCGCAAGGUUGAAAAC
rnacentral:rRNA from 1 species